UUUUCCAGAACGCUUAAUCUUCCCGAUAGGAAGAGCGGGGGACCCAACGCGGCGACGAUCAACAGUGCGUCCUAAGCGGUCCGAGCAAUCUUGGGGUGAAUUUCAUGAACGGGCAUCCGACAGAAUGAAGUCAAUGUCCCGCAGUGAAUAGGGCAACUCUCUUUGCCCGAACCCGACAGCUAACCUCGCAAGCGUGACAGAGAGAGGUC
rnacentral:sRNA from 2 species